GCUGGGCGUGGUGGCGGGUGCCUGUAAUCCCAGCUACUCGGGAGGCUGAGGUGGGAGAAUCGCUUGAGCCUGGGAGUUGGAGUUUGCAGUGAGCCAAGAUUGUGCCACUGUACUCCAAGCUGGGCCACAGAGUGAGCCUCCAUCUCAA
rnacentral:SRP_RNA from 1 species